rnacentral:lncRNA from 1 species
GCAAUAUUAGAAAAAAGGCUUAAUUAUGCGACAAACCCGAACCUUUUGGGGUGGGGGUUUAUUUUCAUCCUGAUCAAAUUUUAUUUGGUGCAAUUUGAUCAUCAAAUUUUUUAAUUAUUUCAAUUCAAACACUGACGCUAAAUUUCAUCCGCAUGCUACGACUGAGUUCUUACGUGGUAUUAUAGGACUUACUAUAUAGCCUCCUUUUACUAACAUGAGAAAAGAUUUCAGAAGUCCUUCUCUUUACUUUUCUUCGAUCUCCUUCCAUCUAGGGUUUCAGUGGGAAGACUAAAAAACUCUCUUCCUCUAUAACUCUAUCCUCUCUCUUUUCGGCCACUUCUUAGAAUCAAAAGAAUAGAUUCUAUUUUUACAUUGGUAGAUAUUAAAACAAAUACAACUCUAUCUCCUCCAACCCUCAUUCAUCCUAACUUCAUCAUUCCACUUUCUUCUCAUCAAUGGGAGAAACUCU